rnacentral:rRNA from 1 species
CCCUACGGGGCGCAGCAGUGGGGAAUAUUGGACAAUGGGGGGAACCCUGAUCCAGCCAUGCCGCGUGUGUGAAGAAGGCCUUUUGGUUGUAAAGCACUUUAAGCGAGGAGGAGGCUACUCUAGUUAAUACCUAGGGAUAGUGGACGUUACUCGCAGAAUAAGCACCGGCUAACUCUGUGCCAGCAGCCGCGGUAAUACAGAGGGUGCGAGCGUUAAUCGGAUUUACUGGGCGUAAAGCGUGCGUAGGUGGCCAAUUAAGUCAAAUGUGAAAUCCCCGAGCUUAACUUGGGAAUUGCAUUCGAUACUGGUUGGCUAGAGUAUGGGAGAGGAUGGUAGAAUUCCAGGUGUAGCGGUGAAAUGCGUAGAGAUCUGGAGGAAUACCGAUGGCGAAGGCAGCCAUCUGGCCUAAUACUGACACUGAGGUACGAAAGCAUGGGGAGCAAACAGGAUUAGAUACCCUUGUAGUCC